AACGAACGCUGGCGGCAUGCCUAACACAUGCAAGUCGAACGAGACCUUCGGGUCUAGUGGCGCACGGGUGCGUAACGCGUGGGAACCUGCCCUUAGGUUCGGAGUAACUCCCCGAAAGGGGUGCUAAUACCGGAUAAUGUCUUCGGACCAAAGAUUUAUCGCCUUUGGAUGGGCCCGCGUUGGAUUAGCUAGUUGGUAGGGUAAAAGCCUACCAAGGCGACGAUCCAUAGCUGGUCUGAGAGGAUGAUCAGCCACACUGGGACUGAGACACGGCCCAGACUCCUACGGGAGGCAGCAGUGGGGAAUAUUGGACAAUGGGCGAAAGCCUGAUCCAGCAAUGCCGCGUGAGUGAUGAAGGCCUUAGGGUUGUAAAGCUCUUUUACCCGGGAUGAUAAUGACAGUACCGGGAGAAUAAGCGCCGGCUAACUCCGUG
rnacentral:rRNA from 1 species